CGGUAUUCUGUGUAAUUGUUUCUGAUUUGAUCCAACUUACAGAGAUGCUAAAUAAACUCAUUAUGUGUAAAUAACACACACGGGUCGACACAUACACCGGGGUGCUCUCAUGCGACUAAUCCUAUGAAGAGUCCGCAGCCAAAGAGUCGGUGUCAUGGGACUUGUGGAGGCAUAACC
rnacentral:ncRNA from 4 species